rnacentral:rRNA from 1 species
AGUGAACGCUGGCGGUAGGCCUAACACAUGCAAGUCGAACGGCAGCACAGUAAGAGCUUGCUCUUACGGGUGGCGAGUGGCGGACGGGUGAGGAAUACAUCGGAAUCUACUUUUUCGUGGGGGAUAACGUAGGGAAACUUACGCUAAUACCGCAUACGACCUACGGGUGAAAGCAGGGGAUCUUCGGACCUUGCGCGAUUGAAUGAGCCGAUGUCGGAUUAGCUAGUUGGCGGGGUAAAGGCCCACCAAGGCGACGAUCCGUAGCUGGUCUGAGAGGAUGAUCAGCCACGCUGGAACUUAAGCACGGUCCAGACUCCUACGGGAGGCAGCAGUGGGGAAUAUUGGACAAUGGGCGCAAGCCUGAUCCAGCCAUACCGCGUGGGUGAAGAAGGCCUUCGGGUUGUAAAGCCCUUUUGUUGGGAAAGAAAAGCAGCAGGUUAAUACCCCGCUGUUCUGACGGUACCCAAAGAAUAAGCACCGGCUAACUUCGU